GCUCCAAUAGCGUAUAUUAAAGUUGUUGCAGUUAAAAAGCUCGUAGUUGAAUUUUGGGUUUGGCUGGGAGGUCUGUUCAAACGAACUGCACUUCUCUGGCUGAAUCUUUCCUUCUGGCAACCAUUGUGGUAUUAAUUUAUUGUGAUGGGGAACCAGGACUUUUACUUUGAAAAAAUUAGAGUGUUUAAAGCAAGCUUACG
rnacentral:rRNA from 1 species